UACGUAGGGGGCGAGCGUUGUCCGGAUUCAUUGGGCGUAAAGAGCUCGUAGGCGGUUCAGUAAGUCGGGUGUGAAAUCUCCGUGCUCAACACGGAGCGGCCACCUGAUACUGCUGUGACUCGAGUCCGGUAGGGGAGUGUGGAAUUCCCGGUGUAGCGGUGAAAUGCGCAGAUAUCGGGAGGAGCACCAGUAGCGAAGGCGGCACUCUGGGCCGUGACUGACGCUGAGGAGCGAAAGCGUGGGUAGCAAACAGG
rnacentral:rRNA from 1 species